rnacentral:ncRNA from 1 species
CUUAUCAAGAGUGGUGGAGGGACUGGCCCUAUGAAGCCCAGCAACCGAUAUAUUAGUUCAUUUACUAUAUAUAAUGGUGCUAAUUCCUGCAGUUAUUUUUUAUAACUGAUAGAUAAGA